rnacentral:rRNA from 1 species
AUUGAACGCUGGCGGCAGGCCUAACACAUGCAAGUCGAACGGUAACAGGAAGAAGCUUGCUUCUUUGCUGACGAGUGGCGGACGGGUGAGUAAUGUCUGGGAAACUGCCUGAUGGAGGGGGAUAACUACUGGAAACGGUAGCUAAUACCGCAUAACGUCGCAAAACCAAAGAGGGGGACCUUCGGGCCUCUUGCCAUCGGAUGUGCCCAGAUGGGAUUAGCUAGUAGGUGGGGUAACGGCUCACCUAGGCGACGAUCCCUAGCUGGUCUGAGGGGAUGACCAGCCACACUGGAACUGAGACACGGUCCAGACUCCUACGGGAGGCAGCAGUGGGGAAUAUUGCACAAUGGGCGCAAGCCUGAUGCAGCCAUGCCGCGUGUAUGAAGAAGGCCUUCGGGUUGUAAAGUACUUUCAGCGGGGAGGAAGGGAGUAAAGUUAAUACCUUUGCUCAUUGACGUUACCCGCAGAAGAAGCACCGGCUAACUCCGUG